rnacentral:rRNA from 1 species
UACGAAGGGUGCAAGCGUUAAUCGGAAUUACUGGCGUAAAGCGUGCGCAGGCGGCUUUGCAAGACAGAUGUGAAAUCCCCGGGCUCAACCUGGGAACUGCAUUUGUGACUGCAAGGCUAGAGUACGGCAGAGGGGGAUGGAAUUCCGCGUGUAGCAGUGAAAUGCGUAGAUAUGCGGAGGAACACCAAUGGCGAAGGCAAUCCCCUGGGCCUGUACUGACGCUCAUGCACGAAAGCGUGGGGAGCAAACAGG